AGUGGCGGACGGGUGAGUAACGCGUGAGAAUCUGCCUUCAGGUCGGGGACAACAGAGGGAAACUUCUGCUAAUCCCGGAUGAGCCUUAGGGUAAAAAAUUUAUUGCCUGGAGAUGAGCUCGCGUCUGAUUAGCUAGUUGGUAAGGUAAAAGCUUACCAAGGCAACGAUCAGUAGCUGGUCUGAGAGGAUGAGCAGCCACACUGGGACUGAGACACGGCCCAGACUCCUACGGGAGGCAGCAGUGGGGAAUUUUCCGCAAUGGGCGAAAGCCUGACGGAGCAAGACCGCGUGGGGGAGGAAGGCUCUAGGGUUGUAAACCCCUUUUCUUUGGGAAGAACAAAAUGACGGUACCAAAGGAAUCAGCCUCGGCUAACUCCGUGCCAGCAGCCGCGGUAAUACGGAGGAGGCAAGCGUUAUCCGGAAUGAUUGGGCGUAAAGCGUCCGCAGGUGGCAAUGUAAGUCUGCUGUCAAAACCCAGGGCUCAACUCUGGUCAGGCAGUGGAAACUACAUAGCUAGAGUUCGGUAUGGGCAAAGGGAAUUCCCGGUGUAGCGGUGAAAUGCGUAGAGAUCGGGAAGAACAUCGGUGGCGAAAGCGCUUUGCUAGACCGAAACUGACACUCAGGGACGAAAGCUAGGGGAGCGAAUGGGAUUAGAUACCCC
rnacentral:rRNA from 1 species